rnacentral:tRNA from 1 species
GCCGCGGUAGUUCAGCCCGGGAGAACGCUGGACUGAAGAUCCAGUUGUCGGGUGUUCAAAUCACCCCCGCGGCACUA